rnacentral:rRNA from 1 species
AGGGAAUCUUCCACAAUGGACGAAAGUCUGAUGGAGCAACGCCGCGUGAGUGAUGAAGGUUUUCGGAUCGUAAAACUCUGUUGUAGGGGAGGAACAGGUACGUAGGCCAAUGAAGGUACCUGAACGGUACCUUAUUGGAAGGCCCCGGCUACCUCCGUCCCAGCAGCCGCGGUAAUACGUAGGUGGCAAGCGUUGUCCGGAAUUAUUGGGCGUAAAGCGCGCGCAGGUGGUUUCUUAAGUCUGAUGUGAAAGCCCACGGCUUAACCGUGGAGGGUCAUUGGAAACUGGGAGACUUGAGUGCAGAAGAGGAAAGUGGAAUUCCAAGUGUAGCGGUGAAAUGCGUAGAGAUUUGGAGGAACACCAGUGGCGAAGGCGACUUUCUGGUCUGCAACUGACGCUGAGGCGCGAAAGCAUGGGGAGCAAACA